CUUAAUUUGACUCAACACAGGGAAACUUACCAGGUCCAAAUAUAGUAAGGAUUAACAGAUUGAGAGCUCUUUCUUUUUUGAUCAAAUGUAAGAAAUUUUAUAGUUCAAAUGAAACAAGGCUG
rnacentral:rRNA from 1 species